CAGCACCUGGGAUGUACGAUAACCUUACCAAUUUUGAACCUGCAAAUUCAUGACCGGGAGGUCAUAUUCUUUUUCGGAUGUCAGGCCGUUUCGGACGGAAGGCAGAUGUCAGAGAGAGAUCACCCACCUGGCACUGCCAGGCGUCAAUAAGUAAGGCCGGCAUUUUGGGCGCUGC
rnacentral:other from 1 species